GAGAGAAUAACGAAUCUGUCAUAGGCUCACGCAAUGUAAAAGCCAAAAUUUAAAAUGACCUCCAACGUGAGUAAACAUCAUUUGCAGCCUUCCCCCUUCAACAAAUCAAAAGUAGCAUCAUAACAUAACAAACCAAAAACACAGCCUCCAUGCUGAUAGAACAUCAAACCUAAAGAGUACUCAUGAAGUGCAUUUAUCAAAAGAAGAGAAUCCAU
rnacentral:misc_RNA from 1 species